UUUUUUUUUCUUUUUUCGUGGAUCCGUUUAUUCAAAACAUUUUAUCUCUUAAACCGCGUGUCCAAAUCUCGAACCAUUUUCACCAUUGGAUUCCUCGUGUCGAGAUCUCGAGAUCUUCAAAACUAGAUCCCAUCUUUAUAUCUUUUGAUGGACUUUUUUUCACAAAAAAAUGAACGAAAUAACCUAACCGGGAGCACGUUUUUUUUCCUUUCCUAAAAGAGGCACGGUCACGAAAUCACAACCGUGCCUCUAGCGGAAGAAACAAAAACAAAAAACACGUAUUGUUUUCGUUUUCGAGAGGCAUGAGCACAACCAUGCGUCUCGCGGAAGCAAAACCGUGCCUCUCACGAAAGAAGAAAAAUACAAAAAAUGUUUUUUUCAUUUUUCAAAGGCACGGUCAUGCCUCUCAGGGAAGCAAAACCGUGCCUCUGAUGGUAGGAAAAAAAUAACGAGUUUUUUGGUUUUCGAGAGGCAUGGCUGUGCCUCUCGCGAAAGCAAACCGUGCCUCUUGCGGAAGAAAAGAAAAAGAAAAUGCAUUUCUUCGCGCAUUUUUUUUCAAAAGCUAAGGAAGACUGAUGAAAAACCAACUCGUCGAAAAAACCUGGGAGAAACUAUUUAAAAAGCUGAAAACGCAUGCAAGAAAAAAAAUUCAAAGGAAGCGUCUAGAACGCGACACGUGGCGACGGCGGAGAGUGUGUCAAGUGACGCUAAUGGUUGUGAGGCUCCCGAAGGAGCGCUCGUCAACUAGCUGCUCUUUCUAGAUAUUCUUUAAGACUUCAUCCAUUUAGAAAAGUACAUUUUUCAGUUUGCUGAAAAGUACAACUUGCACCACGGGCAUCACCGUCCAAAGCCACACGGGAAGGAAAACCCUGCCGUGUCUACCGAGUGUUGGGUGUGUCCGCACACUCGGACGAUCUGUGUUGAUUUCUGACAUACCCUCAGUAGUACGACAUCUUCACAAAAAUGGUAUGGUAUAAUGCUGAUGUAGACGCCAAGAUUAUCAUCCCAGAAACUCAGAAAGAGAGGUAUGAUGCUGAUGUAGACACCCAGAUUAUCAUCCCAAAAACUCAGAAAGACAAGGCCACGGUGAGCAAUAAACUUCGGAACUUGUACACAUUCAGAAAGAAGGCAACCAUUGUUCAUGUCCACAUGAACAAUGAAUGACAUCUCCACAGCUAUGGUUACACUGAUAUUAGCACAUUAGCAGUACAACAUUACCAUCCUCCAUCCUAAGGGCAUUCUUAUUGCCACUUGCAACAUUACACGUCAUACUAGAUAGAUGGGAAGGCAAAAAAAGGGGGACAGGGCAAAAACCAGAGCUUCUUCUUUC
rnacentral:lncRNA from 1 species